UACAGAGGUCUCAAGCGUUGUUCGGAAUUACUGGGCGUAAAGCGCACGUAGGCGGAUUUGUAAGUCAGGGGUGAAAUCCCGGGGCUCAACCUCGGAACUGCCUUUGAUACUGCGAAUCUCGAGUCCGGAAGAGGUGAGUGGAAUUCCUAGUGUAGAGGUGAAAUUCGUAGAUAUUAGGAAGAACACCAGUGGCGAAGGCGGGUCUCUGGGCCGAUACUGACGCUGAGGAGCGAAAGCAUGGGUAGCGAACAGG
rnacentral:rRNA from 1 species